GCCCUCGUGGCCUAAUGGAUAAGGCAUCGGUCUCCUAAACCGGGGAUUGUGGGUUCGAGUCCCACCGAGGGUA
rfam:Stegodyphus mimosarum contig7578, whole genome shotgun sequence.